rnacentral:rRNA from 1 species
CAGCGCCGCGGUAAUACGAAGGGGGCUAGCGUUGUUCGGAAUUACUGGGCGUAAAGCGCACGUAGGCGGAUAUUUAAGUCAGGGGUGAAAUCCCGCAGCUCAACUGCGGAACUGCCUUUGAUACUGGGUAUCUUGAGUAUGGAAGAGGUUAGUGGAAUUGCGAGUGUAGAGGUGAAAUUCGUAGAUAUUCGGAAGAACACCAGUGGCGAAGGCGGCUCACUGGACCGGCAUUGACGCUGAGGUGCGAAAGCGUGGGGAGCAAACAGGAUUAGAUACCCCAGUAGUCCCUGUCUCUUAUACA